rnacentral:rRNA from 1 species
GAUGAACGCUGGCGGCGUGCCUAACACAUGCAAGUCGAGCGAUUCUCUUCGGAGAAGAGCGGCGGACGGGUGAGUAACGCGUGGGUAACCUGCCCUGUACACACGGAUAACAUACCGAAAGGUAUGCUAAUACGAGAUAAUAUGCUUUUAUCGCAUGGUAGAAGUAUCAAAGCUCUGGCGGUACAGGAUGGACCCGCGUCUGAUUAGCUAGUUGGUAAGGUAACGGCUUACCAAGGCGACGAUCAGUAGCCGACCUGAGAGGGUGAUCGGCCACAUUGGAACUGAGACACGGUCCAAACUCCUACGGGAGGCAGCAGUGGGGAAUAUUGCACAAUGGGGGAAACCCUGAUGCAGCGACGCCGCGUGAACGAUGAAGUAUUUCGGUAUGUAAAGUUCUAUCAGCAGGGAAGAUAAUGACGGUACCUGACUAAGAAGCCCCGGCUAACUACGUG